CAUGUCUCUGGGCAGCGACAAAAGGCAGGUCCCUGAAAGGACAGGGGCUUUUCCCGCAUGGCUCCCUGCUGGUUCUUUGUGGCCAUGCUGGCCCCUAUGGUGCUGGCUCUGGAACAGUCCCCAGACACAGUGAUACGAGAAGGCCAGUCCGUGAGUCUGAGCUGUUCCAAGAAGAAAUCCGACAGCGCUGCUAUAUACUGGUACAAGCUUCCCCUGGGGAACGACUCCAGGCUGAUCCUCGUAGUUUCUGCAUUAGAAGGUAGUAGAGCAGAUGUGGAGGAGGAUCUCCGCAGCCGUUUGAAGAGCAGUGGGAUACAAGGAGACGCGAUGACCAUCUCGAUCGAGCAUGCCUUUCUGAAUGACUCUGGCACGUAUUACUGUGCUGAGAGUGAAACACAGUGGGUAGGCUGCUGAGGGAGCUGAGCGCAAACCUGCUCCUGCACAAAGGGGACCUGCUUUCCUCCUCGUCAGAGCUGCACAAGGCAGGAUGAACCCUUUCCACUCAUGA